GUUGCCUCACAGCUCCAGGGGAAUUUGCGCCCUUGAGUGUCCGAGGGCUGACAAUGCCAAAAAAAGGUUGCUCGUGUUGUUUCAUCAUUUAUGCAAGCGUGCUUUUCGGUAAUGUGAUCCACACUUUUUUUGGUGAGGUGGAUUUUUUUUUAUUCAACCAAGUUAUGUACAUGCUAUUCCAUGAGACCCUAGGAAUAUCUCUCUCAGGUAACUAUCCAAAUUAAAAUCAUCUUCAGUCCAAGAUUUGCUAGCCAGCAGUAGUACAGAUAUAGCACAUUCUAGGAAGGGUAUACACCUAAGCAGGGAUUCGUUUGUGAGGGCUACUAAGAUGAGUCUAAUUGAUGAUCGUCAAGGUAGUUUGAAAUCAUUAGCUUGGGGAAGAUUCCUUCCAUUAGAACGGGUUCGUCAUUUGACCUAUUCUUCUCUGCAAAGGUAUGGUUCAAUUUUAUGUUAGUGAAUUUAACAUUCAUUUCUGUUU